rnacentral:pre_miRNA from 1 species
AGCCUUCUGUAUCCAUGCUGAGAUUUCAUCACACACCAGAUCACAUAGGCUGAUGAAACUUUCAAGUGAAACG